UCUCCGUUGGCGAACCAGCGGAGGGAUCAUUACAGAGUUGCAAAACUCCCAAACCAUUGUGAACGUUACCUAUCCCGUUGCUUCGGCGGGCGGCCCGGGCCCCGCGCCCGGCGCCCCCCGGCCCCCCGUGGGCGCCCGCCGGAGGUAAACCAAACCCUUGAAUUGCAUGGCCUCUCUGAGUCUUCUGUACUGAAUAAGUCAAAACUUUCAACAACGGAUCUCUUGGUUCUGGCAUCGAUGGAGAACGCAGC
rnacentral:misc_RNA from 1 species